GGGAAGUGAUUAGGAAGUGAUAGAGGAAGGCAUCAAAUAUUAAUCAAGAAGUGAAGAAGAAUCACAUAAAAUCCAAAAAUGCAUUAUUUUCAUAUGGAAACAAGAAUUCUUAGCAGAAACUGAUCUGGCCAAUAUCAAAUAGUACACAAUGAAAGCUGCUUUCUUUUUCCCUCUAUCACUCCAUGCAUGUACUUGUGGACCUAUAGAAGAAAGAAUGAUCUGUUGCUCUUGCCAAUUCACUUGUCAAAUGACAUAACAGCUUUUGUCACUAAAUGCCCCCACUUGAUCUGCCUUUAGAUUCUUCUUCAAUUCCAUCACUGAUAAAGGAACAUAUCAUGCACCCAGUUCUUUAAUUUCCAACAGUUCUACCUCCGCAACUACCAUGGGUACUCCAAGAAACUGGAUAUAUGUGUGGUAGAUUUAUCUUAAUUAUGCCC
rnacentral:misc_RNA from 1 species